AGAUGUGAGGGCGAUCUGGCUGCGACAUCUGUCACCCCAUUGAUCGCCAGGGUUGAUUCAGCUGAUCUGGCUGGCUAGGCGGCUGUGCCCUUCCUCCCUCACCGCUCCAUGUGCAUCCCUGCCGAAGCUGCGCUCUCGGUCGAAGAGGACGACCUUCCCCGAUAGAGGAGGACCGUUCUUCGGUCAAGGGUAUACGAGUAGCUGUGCUCCCCUGCUAGAACCUCCAAACAAGCUCUCAAGGUAGCCAGCAGUACAGGUGGUCGCUGAUCACCUGAAACAUGGCUAAUGUGACUGAAGAACAAAUUUUUUAUUUAAUU
rnacentral:snRNA from 1 species